GGUAAAACUCACCUGCUGCACGCGGUGGGUAACGGCAUUAUGGCGCGCAAACCCAACGCGAAAGUCGUGUAUAUGCACUCCGAGCGCUUUGUGCAGGACAUGGUAAAAGCCCUGCAAAAUAACGCCACCCCAAACCGACACAGGUGGUCAGGUAGAGAAUACCAAGGCGCUUGAGAGAACUCGGGUGAAGGAACUAGGCAAAAUGGUGCCGUAACUUCGGGAGAAGGCACGCUGACACGUAGGUGAAGUGAUU
rnacentral:rRNA from 1 species